GUCGGACCCGAGGUGUUGUUUCGGGUGGCUCCGCCGGGCGCCUAUCCCCCGGAAACUC
rnacentral:ncRNA from 19 species